GGCGUGUUCGUCUAGUGGCCAAGGACGUCGCCCUCUCACGGCGAAGAUCGCGGGUUCGAAUCCCGCACACGCUA